AACGCGAAGAACCUUACCCAGGCUCGAAAUGUAGAGGGCGAUACCAGAAAUGGUAUUUUCCGUAAGGACUUCUAUAUAGGUGCUGCAUGGCUGUCGUCAGCUCGUGCCGUGAGGUGUUGGGUUAAGUCCCGCAACGAGCGCAACCCUUAUCAUUAGUUGCCAACACGCGAGGUGGGGACUCUAAUGAGACUGCCUAGGUUAACUAGGAGGAAGGUGAGGAUGACGUCAAGUCCGCAUGGCCUUUAUGUCUGGGGCUACACACGUGCUACAAUGGUCGGUACAGAAGGCAGCAAAGCCGUAAGGUGGAGCAAAUCCGUAAAGCCGGCCUCAGUUCAGAUUGUAGUCUGCAACUCGACUACAUGAAGUUGGAAUUGCUAGUAAUGACGUGUCAGCUACAACGUCGUGAAUACGUUCCCGGGCCUUGUACACACCGGCUAC
rnacentral:rRNA from 1 species